UAGGGAAUAUUGGUUAAUGGGCGAAAGCCUGACCCAGCAACGCCGCGUGCGCGAUGAAGGCCUUCGGGUUGUAAAGCGCUUUUAAGUGGGAUGAGGAAGGACAGUACCACUAGAAUAAGUCUCGGCUAACUACGUGCCAGCAGCCGCGGUAACACGUAGGAGACGAGCGUUAUCCGGAUUUACUGGGUGUAAAGCGCGUGCAGGCGGUAUGGAAAGUUGGAUGUGAAAGCUCCCGGCUUAACUGGGAGAGGUCGUUCAAAACUACCAAACUAGAGUACAGCAGAGGGGAGUGGAAUUCCGAGUGUGGCGGUAAAAUGCAUAGAGAUUCGGAAGAACACCAGUGCCGAAGGCGGCUCCCUGGGCUGAAACUGACGCUCAGACGCGAAAGCUAGGGUAGCGAACG
rnacentral:rRNA from 1 species